UAUCCGGAAUUAUUGGGCGUAAAGGGCUCGUAGGCGGUUCGUCGCGUCCGGUGUGAAAGUCCAUCGCUUAACGGUGGAUCCGCGCCGGGUACGGGCGGGCUUGAGUGCGGUAGGGGAGACUGGAAUUCCCGGUGUAACGGUGGAAUGUGUAGAUAUCGGGAAGAACACCAAUGGCGAAGGCAGGUCUCUGGGCCGUUACUGACGCUGAGGAACGAAAGCGUGGGGAGCGAACAGGAUUAGAUA
rnacentral:rRNA from 1 species